AAAUGGUCCGCAGUACGCUUUCAAUCCUUCGUCCGCCGCGCCGCUUCGCUUCCUCCAACCGCGCCCGUCUCGUUUUCGUCCGUCCCGCGCCCCACCCAAAAACCGUCCGCCCCCCUCCCCAUGACCCAUCCUAGAUCCGCCGCCGCCCCAGCACCCAAUCCCGCUGCUCCUCCCCCACAGUCCCGCCGCUCCUCCUGCCCCCCCAAUCCCGCUCGCCGCCGGCACAGUCCGUCGCAUCGUGCUGCCGGCCUCCAUGAGCGGCAGGGCCGGUGCGCCAGCCUCAGGCGGCAGCCGCUGAGACGGACGACGGGCCAGCGGCCUCCCGCGGCGGCGACGGGCGACAGACAGUGCGGGCCGCGAUAUCCGUCGAGAAGGGCGAGAAGGCGUACACGAUGACGUCCGAGAUCUUCAACGUCGCCAAGGAUCUUCUCUGAUUUGUUCCAGUGUAUGGGCAAGGGUCAGGUUCAGUCAAAGUCCGCACUCCGCAGACCAUUUGUCGAGGAUCCACAGACCACAGGUCAAUCGGGUAAACUUAUGGGUGCUAGAAGAAUUGAUGACCCGGUGUUGGGUAGAGAUAGCUGCAUCCGAUGUCCAGACCAUCCCAUCUAGAAUUAUAUUUUUGAAGCAACCUCUUUGGAGCCCUCAAAGAAAAGCCCCUUUUUAGAGACCCAUAUACUGUGAAAUGAGGUGCUCCACAAUCAGAUGCCAAUUUCAGCACUCCUAAGUUGAAGAAUGUAAUACCUGGUGAGAUGCACUCAAAACAUAAUUGAUGUGUGUUUUCUUCAGUAUGAGUUUGGACUACUUAUCAGCUAUCCUGUUAAAGGUUGAGAUCAUUGUGCGCAUUAUAUUAGAUAACAUAUUUCAUGAGUGGACUGAUGUACAGUUUGAAUUAGUAAUCUUCUCUAAGCCCUGUUGUCAGCUGAUAAAUAAGAGCUGAUGUUAGCAGAUAAAUCAUGUUGCCUUUUUUCCUUGAUGGUGCAAAGAAAAACUAAUUUAUGUAGUGACCAGCCAUAUAUGAUGAGCCACUCUAGAUGGCAAUCAUAUAUAUACUUCAUACACAAUUUGCUGAUACUUUAUUAUUAUGAGUUCACAUGCUGUUUAUUGAUUCGACUGGAGUAACUAGAUUAAUAUAUUGUCUUCCAUAUUAAAUAUUGCUUCUUACCUUUAAUAUAUUGUGCUCCACCUGUCUAUAUUGGCAUGGUUUCUCUUUCACUUUGUUACAGGAUACAUGGGUGUUAAUAUUUUUGUUCUGUUGUUAAAAGAAAUCUUUACUACAAUGCUUAUUCAAUUAGUUGAUUGUAUAUUUCCUGAUGCUGCAAGUGGGGUAAAAGUGGUGUACAGAGCAAAGGAUUUUGAGGACCAGCGGGUGAGGUGUGUUCUUUUCUGCCACCAACCACAUAAUUUUUUUUUCUGCAUUUCACUCUAUUUUUUGAAAUCAGAAAGCACAUGGUUCUUGGUUCAGACAAAAUUAAGUCAGAGCACAUCAAACCAAUGAUGGAUAAUGAAGGAUUUUACUGAUGAGGGAUGUGUAUGGCAUUUCCAUGAACAUAGCUGUAUAAGAAAAUCCUUUAUUUAAAAAACCAGCAUUGUUAUACUGCAAUUUAUACCUCAUGUUUCGGGCAAACAAUGCUGGGACAACACAUGCCACACACAUGUAUACAUCUGUAGUUUGACUGAUUCCUUAUUCAGUUGGGAGAAACAAUGAAUGCCUCUCUCUCUAAUUCUUAUGAAUAAGUAAAACCUUUGUACAUUCGUAUUUGCCGUGAUAAAGCUCGAUGCUUGAAUAGUGACCACUGUUAGACAUAGCAUUGCAUGAUAUCUUAUAGUGCCCACUGCUGACCAGUCAAAGAAUCUUUUGCAGCUUUUGGAUUAGACUCACAUGGCAUUUGGAGCUACAUUAUACCAUUGUUGGCUGCAAGUGGAACUUGAAAAACUAUCAUUUCUGGUGUAGCUUUUAUUUUCAACAUUUUUUCCUUCACAUUCUCUUUUCUAAUUUUAACUCCAUACAAUUAUUGGUUGACAAGGAGGGUAUUCUGAAGGCUAACAUGACCACUACUCCUUGACAAGUGAAAAUUUCAGAGAACGAUGUCAAUCUUGGCCAUGACAAGAAAUCAAGGUGGCACUUUUCUAAAUGUAUUUUCCAAGAAGCAAGCACAAUUGAAAACGGAGGUCCUAUAAAAAAGAAAUAAGCAAGCACCAACAGGCGCUUACAGUUAGGAGACCUGACGAAGGAUGAUAGGGUAGUUGAUGGAAUUUUUGGGUUAGGGCAGAUCGACUGUGUCAUUUCUCAACUGAAACAUUUUUCGAUGUCCCUGAAAGUGUUUUCUCAUUGCCUGGAAGGUUCAGAUUACGGAAGAGGCAUUCUUGUGCUUAGUGAGUAUUGUUAGUUCCUAUUGUGAGAAUCCUGAUACAUCCACUUUGAUGAGUAGAAAUAACAAGUGUUUUUUUGUGCCAAAUA